rnacentral:lncRNA from 1 species
AACAGGCUCCUGUGUAGGCUAAUGCUGUAUUUGGACCAGGUCUGCGGGGGUCCUUUCUCCUAGCUCUCCUCCUUCAUCUACCUCCAUGCACCAGCAUGGUCCAGGGCUGACCACAUGGUGGAAGUUCACCUCUCUCCUGGGGCCUUUUCUGGUUUGCAAUAGAUGACUGACCCUCUAGAGUUCAAACAGAACAGUAGCAGUCAUCAUUGUCCAAGAGCUGAGCCUUCCCACAGUUUGCCAAACAAGGAGAGACAGGUAGAUUCCAGUGUCACCUCAGGGUGACCCCUGUCAUCUCUGAAGCCUCCCACCUUAUUUCCGGCCACAUCCAUGAGGUGAGCAGCUUUCAGCACCAGCAGCCGGGCCUGCUCGAUCUCCACACGUGACCGGGCAAUGUCUGCCAGGAUGGUGCCCUGCUCCACAAGGGGCUUCCCGAAGGCCGUGCGGGACAUCACCUACAGACACCAGAGGGACAAGGCUGAGAAGGGAGGCCUAGAGAGGCCCCGGGAGGCUCAGAGUGGAUGACUGCAGAGGAGCCAGGCACACAGGACAAGAGAGAGCAGAUGUGAGAACCGCCUGUCUGACAGACAGCUAACUGGGGUUGAGGGUCUGAGGUAGGCAAUGCAGUGCUCACUACAGAUGACACACCAAUAGAGAAUGUCCUGCAGAGGCUGAUGGCUGAUUACAGCUACAGUGAUUCUGGAGAGCUGGGAAUAGUACAGGCCCAGAGCCUUGAAUCUUGGGCUAUCACUCACAGGACCUCAGGAACCAUUUAUUGCCCACUUCUGUCAUGACAACAAACCUUAUGACUGAGGGAAAUCCGUCUGGAAUGUGAAGAUCGCUACCUUCCACCAACCCAAGAGCUGAGAAGGUUAUGAGACAGUGCCAGAGACAGACAGCAGAGAUGUCUCUGCCUCGUCUUCUUGAAGCACCAUCAACACAACUGAAAGUGUUAUAUGACUUUCUCCUUUGUUGCUAUACAAACUGCAUGAAGGUGGGUGUGGUAGCACAGAUGCUUAAUCCCCAAGGCAGAGGCAGGUGGAUGUCUAUGAGUUAUAUGCUAUGUGUGUGUGUGUGUGAUUCAUAGUUAGAUCAUGUCUUCCAAGAAAACAGAGCCAGGCAGUUGUGGCAUUUGCCUUUAAUCCUCGCACUUGAGAGGCAGAGACAGAGGCAGCGGGAUCUCUGUGAGUUUAAGACCAGGCUGGUUUAUAAAGCAAGUUAGUUCCAGGACAGCCAGGAAAAACAUGAGAAAAACCAUGUGUUUAAAAACACUCUCUCUCUCUCUCUCUCUCUCUCUCUCCUCUCUCUCUCUCCCUCUCCCUCCCUGUCUCUCCCUGUCUCUCUCUGUCUCUGUCUCUCUCACACACACACAAAAUGGACUUUUGAGAUGACUCAGCAGGUAAGAGCACUAACUGCUCUUCCAAAGGUCCUGAGUGCAAAUUCCAGCAACCACAUGGUGGCUCAAAACCACCCAUAAUGAGAUCUGACGCCCUCUUCUGGUGCAUCUGAAGUCAGCUUAGAAAGGGCUGAGAGUUGGGCCUGGAGAGAUGGUUCAGUGGUUAACACCACUGACUGCUUUUCCAAAGGUUCUGAGUUCAAUUCCCAGAAAUCACAUGGUGGGUCAUGCAAUCUCUAAUGACAUCUGAUGCCCUCUUCUGGUGUGUCUGAAGACAGCAACAAUGUAGUCAAUAAGUUAAAUAAAUAAAUAAAUAAAUAAAUAAAUAAAUAAAUAAAUAAAUCUUUAUUUAAAAAUAGGGUCUGAGAG